rnacentral:lncRNA from 1 species
GAGAAGCCAGAGAUGAGGAAAGGUUCACUUUCUGGAUUGGACCCCCUCGAAGAAGGACCACCCAUGGUCCGUGAUGCAACCGGAGGCCGUGUUGGUAUCUCUGGUCCACGCCGCUGGCUGCUCCAGGCGGCAUGAAGCCUGAGAUCCUAGCGGACAUAUAUGGUCUGUGCUGUUGACUGACGCCUUGGUGAUGUCCUUGGGCUUUGCUGCCUCGUGCUGAUGUCAGUGGCCUGUGUAGCCACCUGAGGCUAUGUUGAGGCCUCAGGUCCAUUCAGCUGCUGAGGGGCAUGAGUGGGUUGUUGGUGCUUAAUAAGGCCAAUGUUACUACUGAAGUGCAUGCAGUCAUUGAUGUCUGGGCUACUGCCUGAAGCCAUGUUGAUAUCCAUGGGAAAAGGAAAGUUGUUCUCCUCCCCCACCCCCCACAGCCCACACACCCCGCUUAUGGCUGAGGCAGGGGCCCAGUGGUGCUAUGGGCAACAGAGAGCUGGCCCCAACCCUCCCCCACGCUGGCUGACUGUGAUGCGGGCACUAAAGGGCUGGCCCUGCUCCUCUCUGGCCACAGCAGAGCUCUCCUCAGUUGAUGACUUCUGGUGUGGAUGCAGAGAAAGACUCAUGCUCCCUUGUGAAGCUGCCCACUAGGAAUGUGGCCAUGCUCCAGAACAUCUACGGUGCAGACACAGACACAGGCAGAGGGAGUAACCCAUGAAG